rnacentral:rRNA from 1 species
GACAGAGGUGGCAAGCGUUGUUCGGAUUCAUUGGGUGUAAAGGGUCCGUAGGUGGCCCGGUAAGUCCGGCGUGAAAUCCCAGAGCUCAACUCUGGAACUGCGUUGGAAACUAUCGGGCUUGAGUGCCGGAGAGGUAAGGGGAAUUCCAGGUGUAAGGGUGAAAGCUGUAGAUAUCUGGAGGAACACCAGUGGCGAAGGCGCCUUACUGGCCGGUUACUGACACUGAGGGACGAAAGCAAGGGGAGCAAACAGG